UACGGAGGGGGCUAGCGUUAUUCGGAAUUACUGGGCGUAAAGCGCACGUAGGCGGGUCUGCAAGUCAGAGGUGAAAUCCCAGGGCUCAACCUUGGAACUGCCUUUGAAACUGCGGGUCUUGAGUUCGAGAGAGGUGAGUGUAAUUCCGAGUGUAGAUGUGAAAUUCGUAGAUAUUCGGAGGAACACCAGUGGCGAAGGCGGCUCACUGGCUCGAUACUGACGCUUAGGUGCGAAAGCGUGGGGAGCAAACAGG
rnacentral:rRNA from 1 species